rnacentral:rRNA from 1 species
AUGGCGGCCAACCACCACCUCCGCCGCCUCGCCUCCGCGUCCGCCCCCGCUCUCUCCCGCCUCUCCAAGCCCCCUGCCUCGCCGCUCCUUCGCCCCGCGUUCUCCAGCUCCGCCUCCCCCGCGGAUCAGCCGGCGGCAGCAGUGGCCGAGAAGGGCGAGGCCCGGGGCGCUGUGAAGGAGGAAGACGAGCCGCAGGCCGGUGAUGCUAGUGCGACCGCGACGAAGGCGGGGGAGGAGGAGGAUGACGGCGGCCUGGACCUCCUCCUCUGCCCCGGUCUCCCGUCACAGUCGGCCGCAGGACGUGGAUUUUUAGAACAGCUGCACCCCGGCCCUGGUAUCCUGGUUGUCCAAUAUUGCUUUAAGAUCUGUGCAACACAACUAACUUUUCGUAUGAAAAUUUCUUUUUUUAUUUCUCUCACAUAA